CCCGGUUGUUCAUGUCCAGACCGGGGUUCAGACACUGGUCUUGUUGUUGGAAUGACUUCUCUGGGUAUUGCCAUCGGAAUUGUAUUGGCGUCAGUUGUAUUUGUUAUUCUCUUGAAAAAAAGAACUUCAUCUUCAAAGUCAUCAGACGAUUCGCAAACGGGAAAACAAGUGGAGACCUACAUGACGUAUAAUAAUGAACCGAAGACGGAGAGCCAGACGUACCAGGAUUUAAGGACCAAUGAAGACAACCAAGAUUUUUAUGUGAAUGUAAAAACAAAAAGAUAGAAAAUUCAAAGAUUGAAAAUGAAUUUGGCCUAUGAUAUAUAAUUUUAUGAUGAAGAAAUUGAUUUCUAAAAUGUACCACCUUCAGAAGCGUAAUGCUUUUAGUAUGCGUUAUGAAAUUAUUUCUAUUUUUUACAUGUCUAUAAUUUUAUGUGGGGUAUGAAAUUACUGUCCGAUUGGCGAGGUGGGAAUACGUUGCAACGGGAGAGAGAUAGACUGUUUUAUAAGGAGAAUUGAAAAGGUGAUCGGUUUGAGUCAGCAGUCGGUGGAUUCGGUAUUGACAUAGAGAAAAUGGUAUUGAUAAGCGACUAAAUACAACACUUGUGAUGAAUGACAGAUCAAUAUCAUCCCCUCCAAUGUGAAUUACCGGUAGUUUAACGUAUAGUACAACGAAGUAGCAGACUGAGACCAACGGCUGCUGUCACAAACCGUCAUCUUCGGUCAUUUAUUCGUAUGGCUAUGAAACAUCAUAAUUCAAAUUUUAAGCGAUUAUUAAUUUUUGGUAAAUUUGUAUAAAAUUUAAAUAUUUUAAUGAAUUUUCGUAUUACAUUGUAAGAAUGUUUUUUGUAUGUUCAUUAAUUUGUAAUCGUAGCAAGCUACUUUCAAUUUCUAUGUAUACUGUACUGUAUAGAUGAAUAAAGUUAACUUUACCUUGGUGAUGGGUUCAGAAAAUACUAUAGAUAUUUUGAGUUUGGAGAAAAGUAAUUACAAUUUAUAAAAUUGCUUUCCUUUCCAAAUUCGUACACUGCAUAUUAUAGGCGAACACAAUUGUAUUGCUCUUUUGCAUUAAUGACCGCACUAGAGAAUGACUACAAAAUUUAAUCGUUCCCACCACCACCCCUUUACACAUCCACACCUCCAAGUGUCGGUAGAAGUCUGGCCUUUCUGGCACCCAGUCUUCACAUAUUGUCAUAUAUACUGUGUAAUUUUUACUAUUUGAUGUUACGAAAUAAUAUAGGCCUAUACUGUAUUCGUUAUUACGUUUGAUGCUUAGGUAUUUGUAUUCCAGUGCAACUCCAAGUAUAACCUAUGAGGCUUUUUAGAUAAACCUUUUUUAGUUGUAACUGGUCGAAAUAGAAUUGCAUAAUUUGUAGUAGGGUCAGCAUUUUAAUGGAUGGAUUUUAUUUUAGUCGAGUGCUGACCUAUUUGUUGUACUCUAUUUCUAAACUUUACUUUUCGUCAUCGAUUAAAUGACAA